GCGUCGGUCAUAUAGUGGUUAUUACCCCGGCCUUCCAAGCCGGAGACCUGGGUUCGAAUACUUUCGGUCUUGUUCCAAGGAAUAAGACGAAGUCGACUCUCCCAGCCGACGCA
rnacentral:tRNA from 1 species